UACGUAGGGAGCAAGCGUUGUCCGGAUUUAUUGGGCGUAAAGAGCUCGUAGGCGGUUUCGUAAGUCGGAUGUGAAAAAUCUGGGCUCAACCCAGUGGAGCACCCGAUACUGCGGUGACUGGAGUCCGGUAGGGGAGUGUGGAAUUCCUGGUGUAGCGGUGAAAUGCGCAGAUAUCAGGAGGAACACCAACAGCGAAGGCAGCACUCUGGGCCGGUACUGACGCUGAGGAGCGAAAGCAUGGGUAGCGAACAGG
rnacentral:rRNA from 1 species